rnacentral:rRNA from 1 species
UUUCCCCCGGUUUUCUACAUACAAUAGCGGAGGAAAAGAAACUACAAGGAUUCCCCUAGUAACUGCGAGUGAAGCGGGAAAAGCUCAAAUUUAAAAUCUGGCGGUCUUUGGCCGUCCGAGUUGUAAUCUAGAGAAGUAAUGCCCGUGCUGGACCGUGUAUAAGUCUCCUGGGAUGGGGCGUCAUAGAGGGUGAGAAUCCCGUCUUUGACACGGACUACCAGUGCAUUGUGGUAUGCUCUCAAAGAGUCGAGUUGUUUGGGAAUGCAGCUCAAAAUGGGUGGUAAAUUCCAUCUAAAGCUAAAUAUUGGCGAGAGACCGAUAGCGAACAAGUACCGUGAGGGAAAGAUGAAAAGAACUUUGGAAAGAGAGUUAAACAGUACGUGAAAUUGCUGAAAGGGAAACGCUUGAAGUCAGUCGCGUUGGCCAGGGAUCAGCCUUGCUCUUGCAUGGUGUACUUUCUGGUUGACGGGUCAGCAUCAAUUUUGACCACUGGAAAAGGGCCUGGGGAAUGUGGCAGCUUCGGCUGUGUUAUAGCCCCUGGUCGCAUACAGUGGUUGGGAUUGAGGAACUCAGCACGCCGCAAGGCCGGGUUUCGACCACGUUCGUGCUUAGGAUGCUGGCAUAAUGGCUUUAAGCGACCCGUCUUGAAACACGGACCAAGGAGUCUAACAUGCCUGCGAGUAUUUGGGUGGAAAACCCGAGUGCGUAAUGAAAGUGAAAGUUGAGAUCCCUGUCGUGGGGAGCAUCGACGCCCGGACCAGAACUUUUGGGACGGAUCCGCGGUGGAGCAUGUAUGUUGGGACCCGAAAGAUGGUGAACUAUGCCUGAAUAGGGUGAAGCCAGAGGAAACUCUGGUGGAGGCUCGUAGCGAUUCUGACGUGCAAAUCGAUCGUCAAAUUUGGGUAUAGGGGCGAAGACUAUCGAACAUCUAGUAGCUGGUCUGCAGAUUUCCCCUCCUAGAGAA